ensembl:snoRNA
AUGCACUGUAUAUAUUAUGUAGGUUGCCAUUUAUUGGCAUUCUGCUCACAAUUCAGUGCAAUAGAAACCCAGUUUGCAGAAGGGCCGAACCAACUAUUGGUUUUUCCCUUUCGAAUGCUGAGCACAGCA